CCUACGGGAGGCAGCAGUGAGGAAUAUUGGUCAAUGGACGAGAGUCUGAACCAGCCAAGUAGCGUGAAGGAUGACUGCCCUAUGGGUUGUAAACUUCUUUUAUCAAGGAGUAAAGUCAGGCACGUGUGCCUUUUUGUAUGUACUUUAUGAAUAAGGAUCGGCUAAAUCCGUGCCAGCCGCCGCGGUAAUACGGAGGAUGCGAGCGUUAUCCGGAUUUAUUGGGUUUAAAGGGUGCGGAGGCGGAAUAUCAAGUCAGCGGUAAAAAUUCGGGGCUCAACCCCGUCGUGCCGUUGAAACUGGCGGUCUUGAGUGGGCGAGAAGUAUGCGGAAUGCGUGGUGUAGCGGUGAAAUGCAUAGAUAUCACGCAGAACUCCGAUUGCGAAGGCAGCAUACCGGCGCUCAACUGACGCUGAUGCACGAAAGCGUGGGUAUCGAACAGGAUUAGAUACCCUAGUAGUC
rnacentral:rRNA from 1 species